UUUCCUAAAUCUCAUUCAUACUCUGGCCAGAGAUUCUUAAUCAUAUCAUAGAGUAUUCUCCCUCAAACGGUUUAAAGGUUAAAGAUCCCUUGUUGCGCAUUCACUUGCCUCCAUGGCUAAGUGGCUUAACCCCAACUAUGCCGUGGACACCCUCUGACAGAGUGACUUUGACAUAGUCAAAGAUCAAUGACCUAACCACAAGACAACUAUGAUGCCUCAGGUCAAAUGACUACUUUGCAUUAUCCCAACCAUGAGUUCUCAUGUGACAUGAGUAUGAGAACUCCUUGUUGAUCGUGUUUAGUGGACUCAUUCUCUAUUGAGCACCUACAUGCUUGUCUUGGUGUGAGUCACACCAAUGACUCGAGACCAGUCAUUCUCCCUAAGAGAAGACAUAGCACGUACUGAUCUUAAUGGACUGUCAAUGCCCAAUUGGCAAUCCUAUGAUCAGGAACGUUUAAGAUAUGUUUACGAAAGAGAAUGGUCUCAUGAAUCUAACUUCUUUAGAUCACAUUCUCCCAAUUACAUAUUCCUUGGACUUAUCGUUUAAGCGUAUAACAUUUAUAUGAGACGACUUCAAACAACUUAAUGUCCGUAAAGUAUCAUCAUAUGAUUGGUUUUAGGACACAUUUCCAACAAUAGAGGGUACAACAAAAACGUGGUUAGUCAUAUGGUAAUCCAUAGAGAUACAUUGUAGAACUUUUGGGUUCUAUAGACAUGUAUUGGUUUAGUUUAUGCAUGAAAGCUAUAGGUUUCAUGUAGUAAGUUUUGAAUGAAAACUUCAGGUUUCAAAGGCACUAAAUAUGAAACCACAGGUUCAAUUUAGUUUUAUGAACGAUUAGUUCAUAAAGGAGAGGUUCCUGCAAGAACACAGAAUGCAAUAUGCUGAUUUAAGUGUAGUGGAUUUGAGUUGCUUCGGGAACUUAAGUGUGAGAGCUUUGGGACUACGAAUUGGUGAUAAACCAAGUGAUAACUAAAUUAGAACUAAUUAGCAUAAACCAAAGUACCCUAAGAAAUAUUUUGGGCAUGAUUUAUAACGUGGGUAUGCCAAAAAUUGGCAUUGGGUCGAAAAAAGACAAAGGAGUAGGCCCUGCAGUUUGACUGCAGGCUUAUUGGGCCAUGAGAGGGUUUCAGGCCUCUAGGCGGUGUGGUUUGGGGAGCCCAGCAGCCAAGGCUGCUGUCAUUAGGCUAAGAAAUUGGACAUGGGUGCAGGCCCAAAAAAAAGUUUGUUGUGGGUUGGUUUGGGAAGCCUAGGUAAGCAAAGCUCAGUAAAAAAGGCUGCGGGUGAAGGAAAAAUUUUGUCCUAGCUAAGAACAAGUAAGAACAUUUGAAUACAUAUGCAAACUAUUAACACUUUAAAGUAGGCAUGCAUUAAAAAACAAUUCAUAAAACCCAUGACUUUCAAAGCCUAGUAUAUGGUGAACCAAUAAACUCUUUAACAACAUUAAAGAGAAGUAAAGAUUUAGAGUUUCUUUACCCUUAAAGCUCAUCCUUGUUUACACAAGGGAUUCACCCAAGUGGAGGGCCUUCAAGUCACCUCCUAGCUCCUUGGAUAUUGCUUGUGUUUUCCUUCUCCUUUUGUGCUCCUUUGGACUUUGUGGAUGUAAGGAAAGGAUCUCCAAAACA
rnacentral:lncRNA from 1 species